rnacentral:rRNA from 1 species
UACGGAGGGUGCAAGCGUUAUCCGGAUUUAUUGGGCUUAAAGGGUCCGUAGGCGGAUCUGUAAGUCAGUGGUGAAAUCUCAUAGCUUAACUAUGAAACUGCCAUUGAUACUGCAGGUCUUGAGUAAGGUAGAAGUAGCUGGAAUAAGUAGUGUAGCGGUGAAAUGCAUAGAUAUUACGUAGAACACCAAUUGCGAAGGCAGGUUACUAUGUCUUAACUGACGCUGAUGGACGAAAGCUAGGGGAGCGAAUGGG